AGUGAACGCUGGCGGUAGGCCUAACACAUGCAAGUCGAACGGCAGCACAGUAAGAGCUUGCUCUUACGGGUGGCGAGUGGCGGACGGGUGAGGAAUACAUCGGCAUCUACUUUUUCGUGGGGGAUAACGAAGGGAAACUUACGCUAAUACCGCAUACGACCUACGGGUGAAAGCAGUGGAUCUUCGCACCUUGCGCGAUUGAAUGAGCCGAUGUGGGAUUAGCUAGUUGGCGGGGUAAAGGCCCACCAAGGCGACGAUCCGUAGCUGGUAUGAGAGGAUGAGCAGCCAGGCUGGAACUGAGACACGGUCCAGAGUCCUACGGGAGGCAGCAGUGGGGAAUAUUGGACACUGGGCGCGAGCCUGAUCCAGCCAUACCGCGUGGGUGAAGAAGGCCUUCUGGUUGUAAAGCCCUUUUGUUGGGAAAGAAAAGCAGCAGGUUAAUACCCCGCUGUUCUGACGGUACCCAAAGAAUAAGCACCGGCUAACUUCGUG
rnacentral:rRNA from 1 species